CAUAGCAGCUCUGUACUGCAUCAAUUCUCAAAAGAUUUUUUUUUUUUUUCUUGUCCCCGGGAACAAGUUGUAUUUCCAAUUUCUGGCAUAACUCAUCUGCCUCCAACAAUAGAACUGACAACCGGCCAGUCACAGAAGAGCGAUGUGGUCACAUGAUGGACAGAGUUGUAUGAAGUGUGCUUUUUGGAUGAGUGGGUGAGAUGACUGAACGUGUGUCUGUCUGGAUGUGAAAGAAUUUGACCUGAGCUUGCUGCUAAUCCUUUCUCUUCCUCUGGAACAUGCGGGAGGUAAUUCAAAUCCAAGAUGUGUGGCGAAGAGGUGGCUGAGGAGACGCUACGUGGAAGAAUCUCCAGUGUACGGACACCCACAGGGAGCGUACGGAGGAUCCGACAGAGCUGCAGUCUCUUAUCGAGGUCUUCUUCAUUCAAAGAAUGAGCGACGAGGCGGAGCUCUAGUUAACGGGAUCGUAAGUCUUCCAGGCAAAUGUGGCAGAACAUUGCAGUCGGGCACCGGCAGGCUGGUGUUGCUGUGCGUCCGCCCGGUUGUUGAUCUCUUUCCCGACAUGAAUAACUGAGCUGCGGUAGCUUCAUUGUGUUUUCUGGUGGCGAAUCUUUUCUGAUAAAUAUCAAUCCCUAAACAACCACAUUUUUUGCUUGAUUUCUUUACUAUAAAUAAAUGCUGGCAAAUUAUUUUUAAUUUCAGCUUGAAUGACAUUGAUUUUAGUUUAAGUUGAAGGUUUUGAGGGAUUUAUCAAGUUAUCUGUUGAAAAUAUGCAAUAUGUUCUUUAAUGCUGCUUUUUAACAUUUUAAAAACACCAAUGGUUCAAAUGACUGUUUAAUGUGAGGAGAGUUGCUCAAUAAUGAAUCCUAACCACACUCUGCAGCCCCGAUCAGCAUUGGUUGUUAUUGCAUAGCUUUGGCUUUCUGCCUAAACGUCCUUGCUUUGGUUCCCACUCAUGGCAGGAAGACCUGCAGGACGUACGAUGGCGACAUAAAGAAGGCGCAGUCACCACAUACAGGGUCAAAUGGUUUCUCAUAACCGUAUAAUAUGUAGACAACUAAGCCUUUUUUAUUCAUUCUCUCAACACAUCCCCUUGGAAUGAUUCAACAGCAAGUGGGGACAAAAAGCAGAUCUUAGCAGACAGGAGGAAGCCUCAAGAUCGACCAUCCCACUGAGGACAAAAUAAAUUAGAGAUAAUCCUGAUUGCUGGGCUGAAAAGAGAAGGCCAGUGAGACGUGGCUGGCAGCCGAGAAGUUUGACCUCGGCGAGAAACUGAAGAGUCCCAAAGGAGACGAGCGCUGUCCAAAAAACCAUCUGAAAAGGAGUGUAUUGGUUAACAAUAAAGUUUACUGGCACCUCUUU